rnacentral:rRNA from 1 species
CCCGCCGGCGACCGGCGCACGGGUGAGUAACACGUAUGAAACCUGCCCGUAGCAGGGGGAUAAGCGGAAGAAAUUCCGUCUAAUACCGCGUAACAACCCGAGGAGGCAUCUCCUCGGGUUUAAAGGAAGCGAUUCCGGCUACGGAUGGUCAUGCGUCGCAUUAGCUAGUUGGCGAGGUAACGGCCCACCAAGGCGACGAUGCGUAGGGGUUCUGAGAGGAAGGUCCCCCACACUGGUACUGAGACACGGACCAGACUCCUACGGGAGGCAGCAG